UGCAUGAUAAGCAAACACUCUAUCAACUGAGAUACCUGUAUUUAUCUGCUUUUUAAGAUGACCUGCCUGUACUGCUUAAGCAGGCCCAAAGUUCCUUAGUUCACAAAACCUUUGGAAUAGCUGGGACUACAGCCAAGUGUCACAGCACCAGACUUCAUACUGCUUUUCUGAAAACAGACUUUUUAAGUGUCUGAUUCAAGAAUGUUUUAAAAGUAAACUGCCAUAAGUUACACAAGUAUCACUACAAUGCAAUUGUGGAAAAUAUCACCCUACUCCUCUAUAGUGUACCUUUUUAGCGUUGUUUUCGUGGUAUUGAGGAGGGAAUCCAGAUCUCCCACUUGGCAGAGCUCUUGCCAAUCGGACCGAACCCCUAAUUUCUAUCAGGUAUGGUUCAACAACAUAAAAAAUUUUCUUACCUAGGUCGAUUUGUCUCAAAACAAAUACUGUUUAAAGGGUCUACCAAAACAUCUCAAAAACGGGUCAUUAAAACUUGUUUGUGCUGUGGAACGACUCUCCCAUUCAGCUAAUGAUUUGACACGAUCUGAGAUUCAGAACCUUCCUAUCCCCAGACCUUCUACCCUAGUGGACACAGUUCUCAUGGUGGGAAAAUACUUCCCCCGAGUAUUACAAAUCGUCGUAGGACUUCCUCCUAGAUCAGACGUUCAAGUUUAUUUUCUUUCCGCUUUCUUGGCAAAGGCCCAGCACGUGUGAAUCGAAACACAACCCAGAUCGUCCGGACGCUAAAGGCUAUCGGGUAGGGGUGGUCCCCUUUCAUUAACACAACUCCCUCUCCCCGUGGAACACGUACAGCAGAGCCGGUGAGCGCCCCAUAAUACUCGAUCUGAAUUGGGCACAAGAGUCCCGGAUCAUCAAACUUGAACUUUCCUUUCUACCAAGGUUCCAGAAAAGAGGCCCGUGGGGCCAGCAAGCAAGCAAGCAUUUUAACGUGUACCCUAAAGAGAUAGUUGCACAAGAAUUUAACAGGUAACAAUCACGGAGGAGACAAACCGGAUGCGAUCGGCUCGACCGUACCAAUGGCCUUCCGCGAUCACACGUCUGCGGCGCAAACCCAAAGUUUUGAGCACAUUACUUGGUACUUCACUCGAGCACCAUCGCAACCAACCGAGAUGAAGAACGCUGAGAAAGGGGGGGAAAAGGGUGCCGGGGAAUCAACACAUCGCUUUCAACUCAAGAUGGGCUGGAGAGACAGGGAUGGUAUAGAGGACUGAACCUUCACGAUGGAUUUUGGGAGCUGUAGAUCUGCUUCUGCAUUUCCUGGCCAUAGAGAGUUCCAACCAAUGGCAGGAGCCUCUGAACCCACAAACUCAAAUAAACCUUUCCUCCCUUUGAAUGGAUUUGGGGGUGUACUGAAGCAGUGGGAACCCUGACGGACGCAAAAGGAGCUUCCUUACCUUAACCAUUGAACUGUCAAGCCAAGUAGAAGCCCUCACUGUGGACCAGCUGCCUCGCAUCGUGCUCCGGCUUCACUGGCCUUUCUCCAUCCUCACCUCAGCUCCAGGACCUGGCUUUGUCACACAGAGAUCCAUCCCAGGUGCAGUGUUUUGUCUGUGUAUCUGUAUGUGCAUUAUGUAUGUGCAGUUCCUGCAGAGGCCAGAAGAGGGCGUCAGAUCCUGGAACUAGAGUUGCAGAUGGUUGUGAACUGCUAUGUGGGUGCUGAGAAAUGAACCUGGGUUCUCUGUAAGAGCAACAAGAGCUCUUAAAUGCUGAUCCAUCUCUCCAGCCCAGAUGAAGCAACGGUGGCUGACAGAGGGGACUUUUGGACAGCACCAGCCACCAGCUGGAGUGGCUGCCCUGGGCAAACAGAACCCCCUUCCCUUACUGUCCUUAGAGACUCAGAAUGCUGGAGGCCACCCCUUCCCUCCCCAAAUCAGAGCCACCAUGCUCUGCUGCCAUGUGACAAGGCAGGGGCACUGGGGCCCAUCUGUGCUGGAUGUCAAGGCAGAGGCAGGCUGCAAGGCUGGCCUGGGUUCCCUGCCCGCAUCUCAGCCCUUGCAAGGCAGUUGCUGCGGUAUCCCACGGGGCCUCUGAUGGGAAAUCUUUCCCCUCCAGGGACCCCUGGAAAGUGAUCUCCAACCCUUUCACCUACAAGUUUUGGAGAUAGAGUCUUGCCAGAUAGCUCAGGCCCACUUGAAUUUGCAGUCCCCCUGCCUCAGCCUCCUAAGCACUGUGAUCAUAAGUGUGCACCACCAUUUCCACAGACCCACAGACCCAUGACCGCAGCAUCUACAGUCAGAUUUGAUGGUAUACAUCUCUAAUCUCAGCACUCAAGAGGCUGAGGCAGGAGGAUUGUUGCCAGUUUGAAGGAAUGCAUAAUAAGACCCUGCCUGAAAACCAACAAAUAAAAAUAAACAAGUGCCACAUAGAUAGUGAUGAUUCCCAAGUUUAAAUAAACAUUAUUAACAUGA